rnacentral:tRNA from 1 species
CGGGGCAUAGCUUAGUUGGCUAAAGCGCAAGUCUCGGGGUCUUGAGAUCGGCAGUUCGAGUCUGCCUGCCCCGACCA